UUAACUUUUGUUAUAAUACUCAGACAACAAUAAAAAAUGAAUGUUUAGGUUCUCUGGCAGGCACAGACCAGCUGAAGCCAGUAGUCAAAAGACAGGCCUGCCAAAGCAACAAAGUAUUGUAAACAUUGGGUGGGAGAUAUACCCAGAGGGCAUUUUCUCGGUAAUGAUCCUUCCGCAGGUUCACCUACGGAAA
rnacentral:misc_RNA from 1 species